CCUGCCCCUAGAGGCAUUUGCAGGUAUGGCUGCUGUGUCACAUGUAAGUCAGAAGGUGGCAGAGAGGAGAGAGGCUAUGAUUACUCUCAGCAUUCUGACUUAUGGACAUCUGAAUAAUUAGUAGCCUAACAUU
ensembl:snoRNA LOC120095745 small nucleolar RNA SNORA17